rnacentral:rRNA from 1 species
UUAAGCAUAUGACUAAGCGGAGGAAAAGAAACUAACCAGGAUUCCCCCAGUAACGGCGAGUGAAGCGGGAAGAGCUCACGAUGUAAAUCGAGCCCUCGGGCCCGAAUUGUAGUCUGGAGAGGCGCGGCCUGCCGCUGUCCGCGGCCAAGUCUGAUUGGAAAUGAGCAUCACGGAGGGUGAUAAUCCCGUUCAUGCCGCGGUAUCGAUCAGCGUGCGUAAGGCCCGUUUUCGACGAGUCGAGUUGCUUGGGAUUGCAGCUCAAAUCGGGUGGUAAACUCCAUCCAAAGCUAAACACGGGGGGGAGACCGAUAGCGAACAAGUACCGUGAGGGAAAGAUGCAAAGAACUUUGAAAAGAGAGUUAAAGAGUGCCUGAAAUUGCUGGAAGGGAAGCGAAGGAAAGAGGUGUGCGGACGCCGGAGCGCCAACCCCCAUUUGUUUUCGCCCUCGUGGUGUGGGGGUAGGCCGCUCCGCCGCUGUCAGAGGCUGCGCCGGGCUCGCGGGAGGCUCCUUGCGGGAUCGGUAGCCCUCCCCCGUCCGUUUUUUCGGGUGAGGGAGGGUGUAAGGCCCGCGCAGGCGGCGCCGCGAGUCGCCCGGCCCCUUGUGUUAGUAUAUUAUUAACGUCUGGCAAGUGCCGCUUUUCUUCACCCCGUCUUGAAACACGG